CCGACUGCAACAGGCGUCCAGGGACACGACGCUGCUGGCAAGGCACGGCAGCGAAGCUGAGGGAGCCGUCCCUUGUGGCACGGGGGCGCGACGGCGCCAUGGCGGCUGUGGGGUGGAGGGCGCGUGCGUGAAGGCGGCGCGUUCCUUUGGCUUCCGGCAUGCCGCGACAUGGACUUCCCUGCUGUCGUCGUGCUCCCUGAUGCCAGCUCCUCCUUCCUCCCGCCGCGGGACAUGCACAACACCAAUCCAAUCCAUGCCCUCUGCCCGCUGGCCAGAGAAAGGCAUUGGUGAGAAAUAUGGAUGAUGCACGCGAACGAAUUGGCACUGCCAUCUCCACUGCACUGAAGGAGAUCAAGCCCAUUUCCAUCAGCAUCACCUAGAACCUUCCCUCGACCUGCAUCCUUUCCUUUCUUUUUUAUCUUCCCAAGGUAAAUUGUGCAACGUAUUGCCGCUCUGCCAUGGGUCACAUGGCCGUCCUUCAUACACCGCUUUACUAGGACUAACGCCGAAGUACAGAUGAUGGUAUGUAUGUUUUCACUAUUUCCUCAGUUUUUGUUUCUCCACAGUUUUCUAACUGGGGUCCUCACACAUUUUUUUUGUGUGUACAUUACGUGCCACCUAGAAAAUUCCAAAAGAAGUUGCCUCUUGUUUGGACACCCCGAAAGGCAAGACUAAG